UACGUAGGUGACAAGCGUUGUCCGGAUUUAUUGGGCGUAAAGAGCGCGCAGGCGGUCGUUCAAGUCGGGUGUGAAAGCCCCCGGCUCAACUGGGGAGGGUCAUUCGAUACUGAUCGACUCGAAGGCAGGAGAGGGUAGUGGAAUUCCCGGUGUAGUGGUGAAAUGCGUAGAUAUCUGGAGGAACACCGGUGGCGAAGGCGGCAUUCUGGACUGUAACUGACACUGAUGAACGAAAGCCAGGGGAGCAAACGGG
rnacentral:rRNA from 1 species